GAAACAGUAGUUUAACUGGAAAAAUAUUCCACUCAAAGGAAGGUCAUCGGUUCGAACCCGGUCUGUUUCU
rnacentral:tRNA from 2 species